GACGAACGCUGGCGGCGUGCUUAACACAUGCAAGUCGAACGGAAAGGCCCUGCUUUUGUGGGGUGCUCGAGUGGCGAACGGGUGAGUAACACGUGAGUAACCUGCCCUUGACUUUGGGAUAACUUCAGGAAACUGGGGCUAAUACCGGAUAGGAGAUCCUGCUGCAUGGUGGGGGUUGGAUAGUUUCGGCGGUUGGGGAUGGACUGGCGGCUUAUCAACUUGUUGGUGGGGUAGGGGAUUACCCAGGGUUUGACGGGUAGCCGGCAUGAGAGGGUGACCGGCCACAUUGGGACUGCGAUACGGCCCAGUCUCCUAUGGGAGGCAGCAGUGGGGAAUAUUGCACAAUGGGCGGAAGCCUGAUGCAGCAACGCCGCGUGCGGGAUGACGGCCUUCGGGUUGUGAACCGCUUUCGCCUGUGACGAAGCGUGAGUGACGGUAAUGGGUAAAGAAGCACCGGCUAACUACGUG
rnacentral:rRNA from 1 species